AGUUCUCGUUGAUGAUCGGUGCUUGCACCGAGAUUCAACAUGGAACGAGUGGCGGACGGGUGAGUAACACGUGGGUAACCUGCCCUUAAGUGGGGGAUAACAUUUGGAAACAGAUGCUAAUACCGCAUAGAUCCAAGAACCGCAUGGUUCUUGGCUGAAAGAUGGCGUAAGCUCCCGCUUUUGGAUGGACCCGCGGCGUAUUAGCUAGUUGGUGAGGUAAUGGCUCACCAAGGCGAUGAUACGUAGCCGAACUGAGAGGUUGAUCGGCCACAUUGGGACUGAGACACGGCCCAAACUCCUACGGGAGGCAGCAGUAGGGAAUCUUCCACAAUGGACGCAAGUCUGAUGGAGCAACGCCGCGUGAGUGAAGAAGGCUUUCGGGUCGUAAAACUCUGUUGUUGGAGAAGAAUGGUCGGCAGAGUAACUGUUGCCGGCGUGACGGUAUCCAACCAGAAAGCCACGGCUAACUACGUGCCAGCAGCCGCGGUAAUACGUAGGUGGCAAGCGUUAUCCGGAUUUAUUGGGCGUAAAGCGAGUGCAGGCGGUUUUUUAAGUCUGAUGUGAAAGCCCUCGGCUUAACCGAGGAAGCGCAUCGGAAACUGGGAAACUUGAGUGCAGAAGAGGACAGUGGAACUCCAUGUGUAGCGGUGAAAUGCGUAGAUAUAUGGAAGAACACCAGUGGCGAAGGCGGCUGUCUGGUCUGUAACUGACGCUGAGGCUCGAAAGCAUGGGUAGCGAACAGGAUUAGAUACCCUGGUAGUCCAUGCCGU
rnacentral:rRNA from 1 species